UUUUGAUAAAUUAUCAUUUUGUUGGUAUUCUAACAUUUAAGCCUUAAAAAGAAUCUACUUUCAUUGUUUUAUAAGAGGAAUAUAUGUGUUGGCAUGGAAGCUUUUGGCGCAUGCCAAUCUUGACAAUUUGGAUUUGUUGGCUUCCAAUUUCAAGCACCCAUAAUUUAUAUUAUUUUCCUGUGUAAAGCUUCAAGAACUGCCCUCCUCGGCAUCUAAUACCUUGGAAUCCGAAAAUUAUUACUACAAUUCAUACAACAAACAAUUACCAUGGCUGAAUCCUUUGCAUUCGAGAUCGCCGCAAAAGUAUUGGAGAAACUAGGGAGUGCUGCCUAUGAAAGAAUUAGCUUGGCAUGGGGUGUUCGAGAGGAGUUUGAAAAGCUUAAGCUGACCCUAGCUGUUAUCGGAGCUGUGGUCCUGGAUGCUGAACAACAACAGGCUCGUAGCCAGGAGCUCAGUCUUUGGCUACAAAGGUUCAAAGAUGCUUGCUACGACGUGGAAGAUUUGAUAGACGAGUUCGAGAUCCAAGAGUUGAGGAGGCAAGUCCUGGAACGGAGAAGCACUGGAAGUAAGGUACGCCAUUUCUUUUUUGGCUCUAACCCUUUGGCAUUUCGCUUUAUGAUGGGCAAUAAGAUCAAAAAGGCAAACGAGAUGUUGGAUGAGAUUGCAGCUAACAAGGCCAAGUUUCAUCUCACUCCAAAACAUGAAACUAAUGUCAUCCAUCGUGAGAGGGAAACCUACUCCUUUGUUAAGACAUCUAGUGUCAUCGGUCGAGAUGAAGCUAAACAACACCUGGUCAACUUCUUAAUGGAUCCAACUGAUGGGGAAGAUAUCCCUGUCCUUCCCAUAGUUGGGAUCGGAGGUAUUGGGAAAACUACCCUGGCCCAAUUGGUGUUUAAUGAGGAGAGUGUGAAGUCGCAUUUUGAAUUGAGAAUCUGGGUGUGUGUUACAGAGGAUUUUGACGUCAAACAACUGAUGAUAAAAAUCAUUAAAUCUGCCAAUGGCAGAGAGGGCAAGGACAUGAAUAAGGAGGAAUUACAUAAAGCUUUACAAGAUUGUUUGAAUGGUAAAAGAUUUUUUAUGGUACUAGAUGAUGUUUGGAACGAGGACAAGAAAAAAUGGAGUGAGCUGAAAGAUUUGUUGUGUGGGGGAGCCCAAGGGAGUAGAAUCAUUGUCACAACUCGUAGCCGCAAAGUGGCUACAAUCACAGGCACAAUCCCUCCAUACGAUUUAGAGCAUCUUUCUUAUGAGAAUUGUCUAUCAUUGUUUCUUAAACUUGCCUUUAAAGAAGGUGAAGAGAAACAACAUGACAAUCUUGUAAGAAUCGGGGAAGGAAUUGUUCAAAAAUGCAAAGGGGUUGCUUUGGCCGUGAAGACUUUAGGCAGCCUACUCUGUUCAACUAGGGUACAACAUGAUUGGGAACUUGUGAGAGAUAGUGAACUAUGGAAGUUGAAACAGGAGGAAAAUGACAUCUUGCCUGCUCUAAAACUAAGUUAUGAUCAUUUGCCCUGGUAUUUAAAGCAAUGUUUUGCUUUUUGUUCAGUUUUUCCAAAAGAUUUUGAAUUCAAUCCUCUCUAUUUGAUCUCCCUUUGGACGGCAAAUGGCUUUUUGCAAUCACCAUACGAAAAUGAAGAGCCAAAAGAUAUUGGGAAUCGGUAUAUACAAGAGUUACUAUCAAGAUCUUUCUUCCAACAAGUUGAAGAUAAGAUUUUUACUUUCACCUUCAAAAUGCAUGAUUUAGUACAUGAUCUCGCAUUAUCAGUGGCGCAAAAUGAGGUGAAUCCAUGUAAUCAUUAUUCGACUGGGAAUGUUCGACAUUUAAGGUUUGAUCUAUCAAAGCAAGAUGCUUCCCAGUUGGCAAAUAACUUGAAUCGUCUGCAAUCACUUUUCUUAUCAGAUAAAGAAGGAAAGGCUGAUAGCGAAUCUCUUAUUGCAGAAGUCAUCUCAAGGUCUAAACAUUUGAGGGUGUUAGGUAUGUCUAAGUGUAGUUUUGAACAAUUGCCAAACAACAUACGUUAUUUAAAGCAGUUGAGAUAUUUGAGCCUAGUAGAUAAUGGAAAUAUAAAAAGACUUCCAAAUUCCAUUUGCAAUUUGCAGAGCUUGCAAACACUUGAUCUUGGUGGAUGCAGGGGAAUUGAAGAGUUACCAAAAGACAUAAGGUACCUAAUUAGCCUUAGAGAAUUAAGGGUAACAACAAAACAGACGCGUUUGCAAGAGAAUGGAAUAUCGUGCCUAACUUCUCUUCGGAUUUUGUCCUUUUUUGAAUGUGAAAAUUUAGAAAAAUUGUUUGAAGACAUUCAAAACCUAACAGCUCUCCGAGAAUUGUACAUAUAUGAAUGCCACAACUUGGUUUCAUUGCCACAAGGUUUAAAAUACCUACCUACAUUUGAAAAUUUGUCAAUUUUAAAUUGUGAAAAGCUUGAUCUCACUAUGGAGGAGUUGGAACUUGAAAAGGAAGAAGGCGGUAGCCUUAGAAAAUUGAGGAUCGGAGGAGUGCCAAAGCUGGAGUCACUACCCCGAUGGAUUCUUCUAGGAUCCACCCAAACUUUGCAGCACUUGUGUAUCAGAAAAUUGGAGAAUCUCUGCACGUCACCAACGUGGUUCCAACAUUUCACAUCCCUUCAAAAUCUUUACAUUAUAAAUUGCCCAAAACUGUCGUGUCUAUCAGAAGGGAUGCAACACCUCACUGCACUCAAAAGAUUAAGGAUUGGAGGGUGUCCAAAAUUAAACAAAAGAUGCAUUGAAGAAACUGGUGAAGACUGGCCUAAGAUUGCUCAUGUCCCUGACUUUUUAUUGUGGUGACUUCGAGAUAACAACAAAUGACAAAUAGAUAAGCUAACGUAGUACUUGAGGCAUCAACAAAGAAAAGAAAAGAGAAGGCGGACAUAGAGUAAUUUGAGAAUUUCGGUUAGGUACAAAAGUGAUUAACGACUCGGCAUCCAAUCUACUCCCAAACUCAAAGUGGUGAAGUACUCUCCUUUUUGAUAAUUGGCAUGUACCUAGGAAGUCAAAAGUGGUCAUUUUGGAAUGUUAUUGUAAAUAUUAUUGUGAAUGCUAAUGGUUGAGCAUAUAAUUUGCUAAAGUUAGUGUGGAAUAUGCAUAUUUUGGGUAUGAUUAUAAACAAGCUUGGUUAGCAUAGUAUUGUAUAGUUUUGUUGAUACAAAUUGCGGUACCAAUGAGGGUAUAUCGGUUGGACGUUUUAGUUGGUCAAUUGACUAUGCUUGAGAUGUGUUUAAUCGAAGUUUGAUUAAGUUAAAAGUUUAGGAAUUAAA